rnacentral:rRNA from 1 species
UGCAGUCGAGCGGGGGAGGUAGCUUGCUACUGGACCUAGCGGCGGACGGGUGAGUAAUACUUAGGAAUCUGCCUAUUAGUGGGGGACAACGUUCCGAAAGGAGCGCUAAUACCGCAUACGCCCUACGGGGGAAAGCAGGGGAUCUUCGGACCUUGCGCUAAUAGAUGAGCCUAAGUCGGAUUAGCUAGUUGGUGGGGUAAAGGCCUACCAAGGCGACGAUCUGUAGCGGGUUUGAGAGGAUGAUCCGCCACACUGGGACUGAGACACGGCCCAGACUCCUACGGGAGGCAGCAGUGGGGAAUAUUGGACAAUGGGCGCAAGCCUGAUCCAGCCAUGCCGCGUGUGUGAAGAAGGCCUUAUGGUUGUAAAGCACUUUAAGCGAGGAGGAGGCUUACCUGGUUAAUACCUAGGAUAAGUGGACGUUACUCGCAGAAUAAGCACCGGCUAACUCUGUGCCAGCAGCCGCGGUAAUACAGAGGGUGCAAGCGUUAAUCGGAAUUACUGGGCGUAAAGCGCGCGUAGGUGGCCAUUUAAGUCAAAUGUGAAAUCCCCGAGCUUAACUUGGGAAUUGCAUUCGAUACUGGAUGGCUAGAGUAUAGGA